GAUAAAAUAAAAAAAUAAUCAUAAAAGAUCACCAUAGAGUAUCAACAACUGUUCUAGUCAUGUUUGUGUUUUAUUUAUGUCUUUUAUCGACCUCCGCGCAAAACUGUUCCAACAUAUAUCUACUAAGGGCUUAGGGAAUUCCCAACUACCACUAUGAAUGGCCAAUUAGUUUAAUUUUCAUAUUGGGUAUAAUCUAUGACCACGGUCUUACUUGGCCAUUUUGGUCCUAUAUAUCACAUUAUGAAUCCAUUCUCGUUAGAGGGAACACCAAUCUCAUUCAUAGGGUGUUCACCAACAUUUUUAGAUAUAGAAUAGGGAGAGAUAGAAACCCCUUAGAGAUAACAGUUAAUCAAAAUUUUCAUUCUUUUCUCUUUCUUAUUCCGUGUUCAUUCAUAAGAAUCACAUGUCUAGAACCUGGUUGGGGAUCUAAUCACAUAUUUGGCACAAGGUCCAUUUCACCCAAACUUGACCUUCGAGACAUCCUUUUGAGCCAAGGCCUAUUAGAAUGACCCUCUUCACUAUUACCAAAGGUAUGGCAAAGGGCCAACUCGCAUGCAUUUUGAAUCAUCAUGAUCUAUUUCCAUCAUGCUUAGCAUUCCACAUUUUUAUAUUCAAAUAAAACAAUAAUCAUCCAUAAUAGAAAUUCAUGCAUUAUAAGCAUUCAACAUUCAAU
rnacentral:lncRNA from 1 species